rnacentral:rRNA from 1 species
UACGGAGGAUGCGAGCGUUAUCCGGAUUUAUUGGGUUUAAAGGGUGCGUAGGCGGCUUUGUAAGUCAGCGGUGAAAUUUUGCAGCUUAACUGUAAAAGCGCCGUUGAUACUGUGAAGCUAGGAUUUGGUUGCUGUGGGCGGAAUGUGUGGUGUAGCGGUGAAAUGCAUAGAGAUCACACAGAAUAUCGAUUGCGAAGGCAGCUCACAAAGCCAAUAUUGACGCUGAGGCACGAAAGUGUGGGGAUCAAAC